AGUGAACGCUGGCGGCAGGCCUAACACAUGCAAGUCGAGCGGCAGCGGGUCCUUCGGGAUGCCGGCGAGCGGCGGACGGGUGAGGAAUACAUCGGAAUCUGCCCUGUCGUGGGGGAUAACCUAGGGAAACUUAGGCUAAUACCGCAUACGACCUACGGGUGAAAGCGGGGGAUCGCAAGACCUCGCGCGACAGGAUGAGCCGAUGUCCGAUUAGCUAGUUGGCGGGGUAAAGGCCCACCAAGGCGACGAUCGGUAGCUGGUCUGAGAGGAUGAUCAGCCACACUGGGACUGAGACACGGCCCAGACUCCUACGGGAGGCAGCAGUGGGGAAUAUUGGACAAAGGGCGCAAGCCUGAUCCAGCCAUGCCGCGUGGGUGAAGAAGGCCUUCGGGUUGUAAAGCCCUUUUGUCCGGGAAGAAAUCGUCUGGGCUAAUACCCCGGGCGGAUGACGGUACCGGAAGAAUAAGCACCGGCUAACUUCGUG
rnacentral:rRNA from 1 species